AAAUAGAACUUUGCAGAGAGAGUUAAGAGGGCGUGAAACCGUUAAUUGGCAAACGAAUCGGAGCCACGAAGUCGUUUCGUCGUUGAGUCUGGGCGGAGUUCAGCUUGGGUCGAGAGGCCUGAGUGUAUUCUCGCGCUUGACCAAUGUUGUAAGCGUACACUGCAACCAGUUAGACGAUUGGUGAUGGGCACAGUUGUUUGAUAUUUUAGUUAGUAGUAGCAUGUGCGCGGCUUGCUGCGUUUGUGUUGCUGGGCUAAAGCAGGUGAACUAUGAACCAAAUACUGACUGGAAAAAUGAAAAUCGCUCCUAGUGAGCGUUGCAUAGAAGGCGGCUUACGGCACUUGCGCCUACACGUUUGACCAUGUGGUCUUUAAGCUUGGUAUCUUUGAAUUUAGACUUGCUUGCUACCAUUGGGGCAACCCGUGGUGCUUGUAUAGCUUCUAUCUAAUCGGGUGCCGACUUGGCUGUAUGUUGUUUGGGCGUGCUACGAUUGGGUGUAAGUGUUGGUAGGUUUGCAAUGAUUGGCAGUGAGUAGGUCGGCUUUCCGAACGACCCGUCUUGAAACACGGACCAAGGAGUCUAAUUAGGUAUCGAGUCGAUCGGUCUUGAUUAGGCCAGAUAGUUGAGUCGUUGACGAUUGAAGGCGCAGAGACAUGUGAUCGUGUGGUUAAACUAACCUGGACGCGCAACAUGUGCCUGUUCUCAGGGCAAUGUAGUAAAAUACUUGAGCGGAGCAAAGAGAUACCUGAUUGGUACCCGAAAGAUGGUGAUGCCUGGGCAAAUUGAAGCCAGAGGAAACUCUGGUGGAGGAUUUAGUCUGACGUGCAAAUCGAUCGUCAGACCUGGGUAUAGGGGCGAAAGACUAAUCGAACCAUC
rnacentral:rRNA from 1 species